GAAUUGGUUGUCUGGUGAACGUCACCGACCCUAAUGUCUAAUUUGAAUCGACGCGGAAGCAGGCACGUGCGAUGAUCGUGACUACAACGGUCGGAUAGAAACCCCAAGCGGAAUAUAUUUAGGUAGUCCGCUCGUUUCGAAUUCGAGUCUUACGUUUGACGCGGAAAAGGAGCGGAAGACGAUAUGUUGGGAAUGGCAGCAGCAGAAGAGCCGCAGCAAAUGGAGGCGACGUCGUUUGCUGCUGCAGCAGCAGGAGAAGCGGAGACUGCGUUGUUGGUGGCGGAUGCAGAUCCGGAGACUGCGUUCUUGCAGCAGAAGGAUGGAGGAGUGUCGACGGGUGGUGGGUUCGAGUGGGAGGUGUACAAGGAGAAUGUCCGACCGCUGAAGCGCGGCCGCGACGUGAAGCUCCUCAAUCAUGCCCUCCGAUCCCAGGUCGACCGCAGCCUGAAUGCCUCUCUCCUCCGCACCCGCAGGAGGAUGAUCGAGGCCAUCGAUGAGUACCAAGGCGAAGAUACUCUGCAGCCAUGGCUCAGGUGCAUCAAAUGGGUUCAAGAAUCAUUUCCUACUGGAGGAGAGUGCUCAGGGUUGAUCGUGAUGUACGAGCAAUGUGUGCGCACCUUUUGGCAUGAUGACCGCUAUCGGGAUGAUUUGCGUUAUCUUAGAGUGUGGCUCGAAUAUGCAGAUAGCUGUGCAGAUGCUGAAGUCAUAUUCCAAUUCUUGGAGGCGAAUCAAAUUGGGCAAAGUCAUUCAAUCUUCUACACAUCCUAUGCCAUGCACCUGGAGUCCAAGAAUAAGCUAAGGAAGGCUGAUGAGAUCCUCAAUCUUGGUCUAGCAAGGAAGGCAAGAUCAUUAGUGAAAUUAGAAGAUGCAUACAGGACAUUCCUUGUGCGCUCAACACAAAAAAAGCAUGGCAAUGACGAAGGUCUUGCAGAUCAUCCCUUGCCCAUUCGCAGCUUUGGAACUGUAUUAACUUCAGCAGAAUCGAUCCCAGGAAGACAGCCUGCAGAAAAUUUUGGACAAUCUAAGAGGAUGGUCGCACUACAGAGGAUUGAUACUAAUAAGCCUCUCACCAUAUACAAAGAUGCAAAUACUGGGGCAAACGAUCAAUGCUCGAAUCUGAAAGCCAACGAAAGAUCUUGGAGUACUCUAGGAAGCCGAUCAGAUCGAAGUAAGGAAAAUGUUUCAAUCCCUAAAAAGUGGUCAUCAUAUAAGGUCCCUCAAAAAAUAGGACAAAGAACAGGUUCAGCAACAUCGAGUACUUGUAUUGAGGUGUAUGUUGAUGAAGAAUGUGCAGAAUCACCCCCAGCUAAGGUUGCCAAGAAUAUGAAUUCUUCGGUGCUGAAACUUCGGCAAGCAACUAGCCAAAACCUAAAGAACGAAACAGAAAUGCUCAAAGUCAAUCCGUUGCGCAAUUUUCAUCUGCACAGCCUCAGAUGAUUGGUCCCGAAACCUGCAGUUGCGUGUUCUUAGGCUCCUCCCUGUUGCCGUUAUAUAUCAAGGCUUGAUGAUGAUUGGCUUCUGCACACUGGUACAAUCUGGUGCUGAUUGCAAUUAAAAUGGAGGAGAGAGAACACAGCCCGAUGAGAAAUUAAUUGCAAACAUAUAUAGACACGUAAGCCUUACCAGUUCCAUAUUAUAUUAAGCUUGGUUUAAGCAGAGAUGCUAUGGCAGGUGAGCGAGCUAUCACCAGACAGUUUGAGAUUCCUGUUUGAACACUUAUGUGCCUAAACACGAUGCUAAUUACAGAUUAUCUCAUGUGAUUAGUUAUCUUUAGUAUUUCGAUUUUUAUAUUUUUAAAAAUAAAAUAUUUAGUCUUGUUUCUUUUAAUAUUAUUGACUUUGUCGAUAAAAAUAUUAUAAGGUUUAUCACUGAGCACAUAUAGUAUUUUCGUUAACAGAGUAUAUGAAAAAAAAUAAUAUUAGAUAUUUUAUUUUCGUAACUAUAAGAAUCGUAAUGUAAUUUUUAGAAACAUUGUUGGUGAUACGAUAAAGUCCUGAGGAUAUCAUCAUCGUGAAAGUAGAUGGAGGAUAUAUACCGCUGCUGCGUGAGGUUGUUGAGUAUUGGGUUUCUUAGUUCGAUGGGUGCGUCUGCUGAAGAGAAGAAGGGGGAAGGCAGCGCUGCGGCAGAAGCAACAGUAGACGGCCGCUGGUGUCGAGAAAAGCUGAUCGCGGGAUGCAGCUGAUGGGCACGUUGAACUCGUUCUAUGCAGAUUGCUUGGUGAUGGGUGCUCAUAAUUUAUUUUUGAUGAAAAUUUGUGAAUGUUUUGGGAGUAUUUAAGAAUCUGCAGCAUCGGCAAGACGUACAGCGCAAGACAAAUGCGUAUUCCAAAGAAUACACGAGCUGCCACUAAAUGGUGUGUUGUCAGGGAAAAUUGUACAUCAUUUUGAUGGUCUUUUGGGAGGAUUUGUAAUCCAAGUGGGAUUUCUUUUCCAUCCUCUCUGAAUCUGGUGCUUCAACUGGCAAAGUUCCUGUUCUUAAGACUCCAUUUUGUUAAUAAUGCUCAUACA